AUGCAUAUAUACAUAUACACGAAACACACUAAUUGGGAAUGUGGCGCAAACCAAGCGUAACCUGAGCUAUGGAGCGACUGAUUGGCAUUCCGGCGGCAAUGCAACUGCAAACGCCUGGCGAUCGGUAAGACGCUCAUCUAAGGAAUCCACCAACUAACUGCUUAACUUGGUCAAAACACACCCAACUAAGAAAAUCGGACCAAGCGUGCAAAAAAGCGGAAAGAAAGUAAUCCGAGAAAGAAAUUGCAAAUAAAGUGUUAUGGUAUUGUGUGCGGCACGUCGGAAAACGCUUUUCGCGUUCCGAUUUGUGCAGUCAGCGGACCUGCACUUUGCCGGGACAAGGGGUCAAAGUGCACGCUGCGACCAGUCCUCUUCUGACAGCCAAUUGGCUUUCGUAUGGCCUGUGUCAGCCACGUCCUCCCCCGCAAACUUGGACUUGCGGCACACGUGUGGCACACAAACAGGUACACUGACGAAAAUCAGUAAGGCAGUGCUGCAAUCAAUGAUGACGCAUUUUUGCUAUCAAUGUGGCACUAAAUAACUAGGCUAAGCUCCUAAUGUAUUUUAAAUUGAUCUGCUACGUUAAACAAGAAGUAAAUUAAGUAAGCAAAAAUGUGUUUAAUAGGGGAAAAUCGUACUUUUUAGAUACAAAUAUCUAUUAUUAAAAUUCUCUGAUAUCUAAA